GCCGGGUGUGUUGGCACACGCCUGUAGUCCCACCUACUCUGGAGGCUGAGGUAGGAGAAUCACUUGAGCCCGGGAGGGAGAGGUUGCAGUGAGCCAAGAUCGCACCACUGCACUCCAGCCUGGGUGACAGAGUGAGAUCCUGUCUCAA
rnacentral:SRP_RNA from 1 species